UUGAGUCCUGGGACGAGGAUCUGGACGGAGCAGGGUUCAUCUGACAUGUGCUGUCCAUGAGUUGACUCCAUCAGGGUCAGCCCCAGCAGAGUGAUAAGAACACAAGGCAUCAGCUCCUCUGCUCUCAUCCUGCAACAUAGACGGGUUGAUGGACUUAAAGACAUUUAAUUAGAUAUUCACUGACUGGCAAACACACACACAAAGAGACACCAGGAGAGCUGAGAUUCCAAAGCAGCAAGUAGCUUCAGUUUGACGAUUUUCCCAAAUUGUCCUCUGCUGACUGACACGACUUUGUGCAAAUAGACCGUUGACAAUAGGAAAUGACAAUUCCCUGCAUAUCGAGUCUGAUGACAAGAUGCCAUGCUAUCGACAGUGUUCCUGUUUUGACCUCUGCCUGCCCUCAGACUGCAUGCCGUUCUGUACCUUUU